rnacentral:rRNA from 1 species
AUUGAACGCUGGCGGCAGGCCUAACACAUGCAAGUCGAACGGAAUUAGAGAGCUUGCUCUUUGAUUUAGUGGCGCACGGGUGAGUAACGCGUAGAUAAUCUGCCUGACGAUCUGGGAUAACACUUCGAAAGAGGUGCUAAUACCGGAUAAGCCCACGGGUUCUUUGGAAUCUGCGGGAAAAGGGGGGGACCUUCGGGCCUUCUGUCGUCAGAUGAGUCUGCGUACCAUUAGCUAGUUGGUAGGGUAAAGGCCUACCAAGGCGACGAUGGUUAGCUGGUCUGAGAGGAUGAUAAGCCACACUGGAACUGAGACACGGUCCAGACUCCUACGGGAGGCAGCAGUGGGGAAUUUUGCGCAAUGGGCGAAAGCCUGACGCAGCAACGCCGCGUGAGUGAUGAAGGCUUUCGGGUCGUAAAGCUCUGUCAAUGGGAAAGAAGUGUAUUUUGGCUAAUAUCCUUAAUACUUGACGGUACCCAUAAAGGAAGCACCGGCUAACUCCGUGCCAGCCGCCGCCGUAAUAC